AGUUAACUAAGCUGCUGGUUCACUACCGCACUUCAUAGUCGCCCUCUAAAUGAUUUUUUUCUGAACUCAGCAAAAGUACAAAGUGUUCGUGCAUGCACCCCAAAUUGUCCUUUUGGUGAGAUUGAGCCUCAGGAUGGAAUAACUGUGAGAUGUGUUUGUUGCAUUCACAUAUACAGGUUAUAUGCCUGCUCCCUCUUCAUCUUCCACUAUGAGUAAAAUCUUCUGGAGACCUCAGAAGAAGCAGAUGCAGGCACCACGCGUCUUGUGUAGCAUGCAGAACU